GCUUGGAGGUUACAAAAUGUGGGGCCCAUUUGGUAUUCGAGCAAGACAUUGAAGACCUAAUAAACCAAAUUAAGGCUGGGUCUAGCAGCUGCAUCAUCACUCCUUAUGAUCAGGAUGGUUUUGAGGAUUCAGAAAAAGAUACCAAAAUUAAGCGAAGCCGUGAUGACUCUGAUGGGGAAGGGGCUGGACCUAGUGGAGAAGCUACCUCUAAUGAUGAAGACGAACCACACCCAAAGAGGAUAAGACUCCCUAAUCUGAUUGAAAGAUUAAUUCCACGUUUGGGAAAUUGGCUUGGGAAUUCAAGCACACAAGAACAAGGUGACUCUGAUUGCGAGGAAGAGAAAUCCCAGUGAAAUUGGUAGCUUUGAUGAAAUUGGCUGAUCAACUUUCUUGUCUUUUGACUUUUUCUACCUCAUAUUGGAUACAAAGAAGUAUUUAUUUGGACUUUGUUGAAAAGGAGAAAUUGUCACGUUGCUGGCUGACGAAAAAGCAUGUGGAACUGAUUGAGAAUGCAAUUGAUGCAUGGUACUCCAGUGUUGUAAAAUCAAAUGGAAUGAAGAAUAUUUGGGCCUCUGUCUUCAAGUGAAGUUAAAUUGCAGCAAAGUGCAUUGAUGUGGCAGUCCUAUAUAUUGUGUGGAUCACGUCCAGAUUGGUUGAAUCAAUACAAUUGCAUGGAAGCUUCUAUUGCUAGCAACUGCCAAAGCUUGAAGGUGCUGAAGUGUAGGCUUUGUCAUGGCUACAUGACUUCUUUAUCUGAUAAUUGGGGUCUCAUUUGUCAAUUGAUGGUUGAUAAUGGAGAAAGAUAUAAGCAAAAUUGUUUGUGAAGCAAGACCCUGUAGAUUUAGAAGCUAUGUUGAAGAAGCUUAGCCUAAAAGACUCAGAUUACACGUUGAUUCCAUGCUUAAGGAUGAGGGAAAACAAGAUGUACAAUAUCCUCUUGCAUUGCUGCCUUCAUUACCCUUCUAAGCUACUGAAACCAAGAUCAGAUAAAUGGACCAUGGCAUGCUUGACAGCAGAGAUGAUCAUCCUUCUGCCAGUAGUAUGGGUUUUGGUGCUACGACCACCACUACACAGUCUUUGGGUGUCUCUGGGGUUGAGGCUGAUGAUGAUGAUGGAGUGGAACAGGUUUCAGAAACUCAAAAGAUCAAAAAAGAUCCCACAAAGAUCACCUGAAAGCAUGUAUUGUUGUUGACACUGCGUCUUCUGCGGAUCAUGCUCAUGUAACUGGGCAAAUGCCAGUGGAUUGAGUGUUAUCUUCUGGAGGUAAAGAGGACUUGCUGAUGACCGCAAAAAUGGUGGUUGGUGCUACUUCUGCUGAUGACUGUGCUGUCCUUUGAUGGGUUCAGCUGCUAAGUGGGGAAAGAGGCUUUUCAUAGGAUGUAUUCCAAUUGAAGCUACUAUGGAUAAUGUGCAGUUGCAUUUCAGUCAGUUUGGCCAUGCUUUGGACUUGUAUCUUCCCAAGGAUGAAAGAAUGGGCAGAGGUGUGUCCUAGAUGUCAUCAUGAUAUGCCUCUUGUCGGCUUUGGGACGUGCUUGGGCCUAAUAGGCACUCAUGUGGGUAGCCGGAGUAUCAAAGGAAAGAGCCUCAUAAAUUCCUUAUUAUCUCAGAGAAACUCAAGAAUUCUUGGAGAGGUCAAAACAGAGGAAAACAUAUGAAGAGUUUGAGAAAAGAUGUCAAGUUUAGGUUGAUGUUUAAAGGAAGUGGCUGCAACUUUAUCCUAAACAGAGUUCUCCGAUGUAACUGGUUUGUGCCUUGUUUCAUCCUUCAUGACCUCUGGUUAAAAGUUUGCUAGUAGUUGGGUUUGUGAUUGUUUUGUUUGUAAAAACAAGAUGUUGGGUAUGAUUAACACCAACCAGGGGCUGUAGUUUAGUCUAAAGACUCGCGUCUCUGUGAAGAAAUGGGUUGGGAUGAUAUAACACUGUUUUCAUGCUAAGAAAGGAGUUUAUGUCAAGGCAGAUGCCUUUGUUGUAGUGGACUAGCUAAAGUUUGAGUGUUUCAAGUGUUUCUGUUUGUAUUGGUGUGUUUCAAAUCAAUAAUAAUUUCUGAAUUAUCCAAAAUGAUAAAAACAAGAGUCGUUCACA